rnacentral:lncRNA from 1 species
CAUCAAAUUUAUCUAGAUUAUUUUUUCUAUUGUUAUAAAUAAAAUAUUUAUAACUAGAAAUAUAAAAGUAGUUAAUGUUAGGUCUUUUUUCUUUCCAAUGCUCAUAGAAUUUUUUUUUAAAAUUGAUUGGAUUGAAACUUUAUUAAGGAUGUAACAUGCUAUAUUUAUAGCUUCAGUCUUAAAAUAUUUGGAUAGUUUUUCUUCACACAACAUGGUAUGGACCAUAUCUACUCGGGUUCUAUUCUUUCUUUCAACUA